UCUGAAUCAGAUAAUAGAAGCCAUAUGGACUCUAAUACUAGUCUCUCUUACCUCUUCAAUGAAGCACAUUUCUCCAGGAGAAAACAAAUACAAAAACAGAUCCCAAUGAGGAUGGAGGCAACUGACAAUGUAAAAGGUUAAAGAUAGUCCCAAGAAGAUGCACGGUUGAAACUUCUCCCUGGUCACACAAAUGUACAAGACCUUCUGUCCAAGGGAAAGCAACCCUGCGGAAGGGUUGGAAAGACUGGAUUACUACAGCACCAUAAGAAGGAUGGGUUACCUCUGAUGUCAGGAAUCAUCAAUGAUGAGAGGAAAGACCUGCUGCUGCUUCCACUGAAAGAAGCCCUUCCUCCACCUGUACAGGAAAAUGGAGGGAAUGCCAUGAAGGGAUAUUCAAUGUUUUACUCCUUCUAUAUCCCUUCCCACACUAGGGCACAAUUUCACCCCUGUAGCUAGCUUUGCAGCUCCAGAGAUGACUCAAGUGUUUGGGGCUUCAGUUAGAAAUGAGAGUGCUCAGUACCUCACAGGACGUACUAUGGCCCUGAUCAAGCCACAUAUUUUCUUGCAAAUAUGUGUUAGCCUAAAAUGUGCUACAUGAUCUAGGUUUUUAAAUAGUCUGUGAGCCCUCUAGUGGGUUUCACUGUGUUCUAUAUUGGU